AUGCAGAUUUUCGUGAAAACCCUUACAGGGAAAACCAUCACCCUCAAGGUUGAACCCUCGGAUACGACAGAAAAUGUAAAGACCAAGAUCCAGGAUAAGGAAGGAAUUCCUCCUGAUCGGCAAAGACUAAUAUUUGCUGGCAAGCAACUGGAAGAUGUCUGACUACAACAUUCAAAAGGAGUCUACUCUUCAUCUUGUGUUGAGACUUCAUGGUGGUGCUAAGAAAAGGAAGAAGUCUUACACCACUCCCAAGAAGAGUAAGCACAAGAGAAAGAAGGUUAAGCUGGCUAUCCUGAAAUAUUAUAAGGUAGAUGAGAACGGCAAAAUUAGUUGCUUUCGUCGAGAGUGCCCUUCUGAUGAAUGUGGUGCUGGAGUGUUUAUGGCAAGCCACUUUGACAGACAUUAUUGUGGCAAAUGUCUGACUUACUGCUUCAACAAACCAGAAGAUAACUAA
rnacentral:lncRNA from 1 species